GGCCGAGUGGCGGAACUGGUAGACGCGCGCGACUCAAAAUCGCGUAUCGAAAGAUGUGAGGGUUCGACUCCCUCCUUGGCCACCA
rnacentral:tRNA from 1 species